UACGUAGGGGGGCCAGCGUUGUCCGGAAUCAUUGGGCGUAAAGCGCGCGUAGGCGGCCAGAUAAGUCCGGUGUGAAAGUCAAAGGCUCAACCUUUGAAUGCCGCUGGAAACUGCCUGGCUUGAGUCCGGAAGGGGCGAGUGGAAUUCCUGGUGUAGCGGUGAAAUGCGCAGAUAAUCAGGAGGAACACCAAUGGCGAAGGCAGCUCGCUGGAACGGUACUGACGCUGAGGCGCGAAAGCGUGGGGAGCGAACAGG
rnacentral:rRNA from 1 species